rnacentral:tRNA from 1 species
UCCAGGGUAGCCGAGUGGACAUGGCAUCUGCCAGGUAAGCGGAACAUUGUGGGUUCGAUUCCCAUCCCUGGAC